UACGAAGGGUGCAAGCGUUAAUCGGAAUUACUGGGCGUAAAGCGUGCGCAGGCGGUUUUGUAAGUCUGUCGUGAAAUCCCCGGGCUCAACCUGGGAAUUGCGAUGGAGACUGCAAGGCUAGAAUCUGGCAGAGGGGGGUAGAAUUCCACGUGUAGCAGUGAAAUGCGUAGAGAUGUGGAGGAACACCGAUGGCGAAGGCAGCCCCCUGGGUCAAGAUUGACGCUCAUGCACGAAAGGCGUGGGGAGCAAACAGG
rnacentral:rRNA from 1 species